rnacentral:rRNA from 1 species
AGAGUUUGAUCAUGGCUCAGAUUGAACGCUGGCGGCGUGCUUUACACACGCAAGUCGAACGGCAGCAUGGAUGGUGCUUGCACUAUCUGAUGGCGAGUGGCGGACGGGUGAGUAAUACAUCGAAACGUAUCUAUUAGCUGGGGAUAACCUGACGAAAGUUAGGCUAAUACCGAAUAAUCUCUGAGGAGGAAAGCUGGGGACUUGGGAGACUGAGCCUGGCACUGAUAGGAUGGUCGAUGGUUGAUUAGCUAGUUGGUGGGGUAAGAGCUUACCAAGGCGAUGAUCAAUAGCUGUUCUGAGAGGAAGAUCAGCCACACCGGGACUGAGACACGGCCCAGACUCCUACGGGAGGCAGCAGUGGGGAAUUUUGGACAAUGGGGGGAACCCUGAUCCAGCAACGCCGCGUGAAUGAAGGAGGCCUUAGGGUUGUAAAGUUCUUUUAUAGUAGAGCAAGUGUAUAGGGUUAAGAGCUGUAUAUAUUGAGAGUAUACUAUGAAUAAGCACCGGCUAACUACGUGCCAGCAGCCGCGGUAAUACGUAGGGUGCGAGCGUUAAUCGGAAUUACUGGGCGUAAAGGGUGAGUAGGCGGAAGUUUAAGUUAGAUGUGAAAUACCUUGGCUUAACCAAGGGGGGUCAUUUAAUACUGAAUUUCUAGAGUAUAUCAGAGGGGGGUAGAAUUCCAAGUGUAGCAGUGAAAUGCGUAGAGAUUUGGAGGAAUAUCGAAGGCGAAGGCAGCCUCCUGGGAAGAUACUGACGCUGAGUCACGAAAGCGUGGGGAGCAAACAGGAUUAGAUACCCUGGUAGUCCACGCCCUAAACGAUGUCUACUUGCUGUUGGUGGAGAGAUCCAUAAGUAGCGAAGCAAACGCGAGAAGUAGACCGCCUGGGGAGUACGGUCGCAAGAUUAAAACUCAAAGGAAUUGACGGGGACCCGCACAAGCGGUGGAUGAUGUGGAUUAAUUCGAUGCAACGCGAAGAACCUUACCUGCUCUUGACAUGCUAGGAAGAUUUAAGAGAUUAGAUUGUGCCUUCGGGAACCUAGACACAGGUGCUGCAUGGCUGUCGUCAGCUCGUGUCGUGAGAUGUUGUCUUAAGUGACGCAACGAGCGCAACCCUUGCCACUAGUUGCCCCAAUUGAGUUUGGCACUUUAGUGGGACUGCUGAUAAAGAAUCAGAGGAAGGUGGGGAUGACGUCAAGUCCUCAUGGCCCUUAUGAGCAGGGCUUCACACGUCAUACAAUGGUAGGUACAAAAGGAAGCGAAGUUGUGAGAUGGAGCGAACCCUAGAAAGCCUAUCGUAGUCCGGAUUGCACUCUGCAACUCGAGUGCAUGAAGUUGGAAUCGCUAGUAAUCGCAGAUCAGCAUGUUGCGGUGAAUACGUUCUCGGGUCUUGUACACACCGCCCGUC